GAAGACACCUGCUUCCCCUUCUGCCAUGAUUGCCAACUUUAUGAGCUGUAACCCUCACUGCGAAAGUCUGCAGCUUCACUCCUGAAGCCAGCGAGACGAGGAACCCACCGGGAGGGACAGACAACUCCAGACAGAAAGAACGAACAACUCCAGACAGAAAGAACGAACAACUCCAGACGCGCUGCCUUUAAGAGCUGUAAUACUCACCACGAAGGUCUGCAGCUUCACUCCUGAAACCUGCAAGACCAUGAACCCACCAGAAGGAAGACACUCCGGACACAGCUGAACAUCAGAAGGAACAAAUUCCGGACAUACCAUCUUUAAGAACUGUAUCACUCACCGCAAGGGUCCACAGCUUCAUUUUGGAAGUCAGCAAGACUAAGAACCCACCAAUUCCAGACACAGUUUUAAUUAUAUACAUUAAUGACAAUUUUAACUUUAAGUAAUUUCAAUGUUCAGUAUUAAACUAGGAAGUAAGCAAUUUUAAACUAUGUUAUAGCAGUAUUUACAGAUAAAAUCAUUUUAUGAUUUCAGAAGAAUGUUUCCUCAAUUUUUUAUGUUUCUGAGC
rnacentral:lncRNA from 10 species